rnacentral:misc_RNA from 1 species
GAAAUGCGAUAAGUAGUGUGAAUUGCAGAUGUAUAUGUGAAUCAUCGAAUCUUUGAACGCAAAUUGCACUCCCUGGUAUUCCGGGGAGUAUGCCUGUUUGAGGGUCGCCAAAUAAACAUCGAUAACGUUUGCUUUUUUUCGAAGUAUAAUGUUUAUCGGAUUUGAGCUUUCUUUAUCUUUAAUAUAUAAAGUGGCUUAAAAAUUUAAUUUUUUUGGUAUCUUCGAAAGCGUAUUUUACGAUCAAUUUCUGAUCAAAAAGAACGUUUCGAAUGCCAACAUCCUUCAAUGUAAUACGUUUGACUAUACGAAAAAUAAUAGUUCAUUCGUAUACGAUUAAUUUUUUUUUGACCUCAAAUCAGGUAAGAGUACCCGCUGAACUUAAGC